CUCGGCGGCGUCCUCUGUGUAUCCAGGUUGGGGAGCUCAUUUAACGGGCCUCAGCCCAUGAAUGAGCACGUCGGAUCUCUCCAUUGAUGUGUUCUCUAUGCGGGGCAGAGGCUGGAGGUUGCUAUCAAUUACCUGUCAGCAAAUCUCCAUAGAUUCUGACUGUUUGUAAAAGCUCCUUUGCUUUCGCUCUUAUGGUUCAUCUGAGGACAUUGCUAAUCUGCAUGGAUCUGGCAGAAGUAAAAACAGGGUUGCCUUCUCCUUAUCUGAACUUUGAAAACAGAUUUGAUUUUGAUUUUCUGUAUUGGUUAUGUGUACAGAGUGCUAGGGAACAUCUGUACCUUUCAAUUGCAAUUACUCCAAUCACAUCAUCCUUUGCUAGUUACGGAUUGAUUUAGGCAACUGCCACUUUCUUCUCCUGGAUUUUUAACUAUUCGCUCAGUUGUAGCAGAGGCAUUGAUGGUGCCAGCUGUCUUUGUGAGAU